UUACGACCAUCUCACAGUGAAACGCCGGUCCUCGUCCGAUCACCGAAGUUAAGCAACGUCGAAUCGGUUUAAUACUUAGAUGGGUGAUCGCUAGGGAAUACCGGUUGCUGUAAG